rnacentral:rRNA from 1 species
CAAUAGCGUAUAUUUAAGUUGUUGCAGUUAAAAAGCUCGUAGUUGAAUUUCGGGUCCCCGCGCUCGGCGCUUCAUUGUGCCGUCGUGGUGUCCCUCCUCGCCGUAAGGCGUCCUUUACUGUGAAAAAAUUAGAGUGUUCAAAGCAGGCAAUCGCUUGAAUACAUUAGCAUGGAAUAAUAAGAUAGGAUCUUGUCUAUUUUGUUGGUUGCGGACAACGAUAAUGAUUAAUAGGGAUAGUUGGGGGUGUCCGUAUUGAGCUGUCAGAGGUGAAAUUCUUGGAUUUGCUCAAGACGAACUACUGCGAAAGCAUUCACCAAGGAUGUUUUCAUUAA